CGGCAGUCACUUUGCGGCCACUAUGAGGACUGAGCUUCCUCUCCCCAGGACCCGCAUGGGAGAGACCGCGGCUUCGAGACACCUGGGGACACCUGGGGACACCUGGGGCGGCGUCCGCGGUGAGGACUGGGAGACGCUGCUGCAUCUCCGGGACACCACUUGGGGCCGAGGCCAAGUGCAGGCCAAGAUGCAGGUUACGGAUGACCCACCCAGGAGGGGCCAUGGCUUCGAGACACCUGAGGACACCUGGGGCCACGUCCGCGAUGAGGACAUCUCUGGGACACCUGGGGCUGCAUCUCCGGGACACCUGGGGCUGACCCUGGUACGGGGAAAGGAGGAGGAACACAGAGACGCCCUCGUGAGGUCGGGGACCAGCAGGCACCACAGUCUAAGGCCAAUGAAACAGGCGCCCCUAGAUGAGUGCUCGGUGUUUGUUUUGUUUUGUUUUCUUUUGAGAAGGAGUUUCGCUCUUGCUCCCCAGGCUGGAGUGCGAUGUCGCGAUCUCGACUCACUGCAACCUCUGCCUCCCGGGUUCAAGCGAUUCUCCUGCCUCAGCCUCCCGAGUAGCUGGGAUUACAGUCAUGCGCCAUCACGCCCGGCUAAUUUUGUAGUUUUAGUAGAGACGGUGUUUCUCCAUGUUGAUCAGGCUGGUCUCGAACUCCUGAUCUCAGGUGAUCCACCCACCUCGGCCUCCCAAAGUGCUGGAAUUACAGGCGUGACCCACUGGGCCCGGCCAGUGCUUUGUGUUUUAAGGCUCUUUUGUUAACGCAGUGGAAACAACACAGGAAAUGGAAAAGCAGGCACAUUAUCAUUCUCAGGCCACUGCAUUUAGCCUGGGCGACAGAGCGAGACCUUGUCUCAAAAAACAAAAACAAAUGAAAACAAAAACAAACCAUUUUGUGUGUCUAAUGGAAGUGACCUCGUCAACAACAGUCUUUUGUUGAGAAAGUCUGUUUAAUUGGCAGUGUAUUUGUAAUGGUACAUAAAAUGACGUCUGCUUUAUAAGCAUUCUCAUUCCUAUAUUAGAUGAAAUGUAUUAACUAUAUCAAGCUUUGAUAUUAUACCAUAAAAUUACUUGAA
rnacentral:lncRNA from 1 species